GGAACGUGCCCUUCGGUUCGGAAUAACUCAGGGAAACUUGAGCUAAUACCGGAUACGCCCUUUUGGGGAAAGGUUUACCGCCGAAGGAUCGGCCCGCGUCUGAUUAGCUAGUUGGUGGGGUAACGGCCUACCAAGGCGACGAUCAGUAGCUGGUCUGAGAGGAUGAUCAGCCACACUGGGACUGAGACACGGCCCAGACUCCUACGGGAGGCAGCAGUGGGGAAUAUUGGACAAUGGGCGCAAGCCUGAUCCAGCCAUGCCGCGUGAGUGAUGAAGGCCUUAGGGUUGUAAAGCUCUUUUGUCCGGGACGAUAAUGACGGUACCGGAAGAAUAAGCCCCGGCUAACUUCGUGCCAGCAGCCGCGGUAAUACGAAGGGGGCUAGCGUUGCUCGGAAUCACUGGGCGUAAAGGGCGCGUAGGCGGCCGAUUAAGUCGGGGGUGAAAGCCUGUGGCUCAACCACAGAAUUGCCUUCGAUACUGGUUGGCUUGAGACCGGAAGAGGACAGCGGAACUGCGAGUGUAGAGGUGAAAUUCGUAGAUAUUCGCAAGAACACCAGUGG
rnacentral:rRNA from 1 species